rnacentral:rRNA from 1 species
CACGCCGUAAACGAUGAGUGCUAGGUGUCGGGGGGGAACCCUCGGUGCCGCAGCUAACGCAAUAAGCACUCCACCUGGGGAGUACGACCGCAAGGUUGAAACUCAAAGGAAUUGACGGGGGCCCGCACAAGCGGUGGAGCAUGUGGUUUAAUUCGAAGCAACGCGAAGAACCUUACCAAGGCUUGACAUCCCUCUGACCGCUCUAGAGAUAGAGCUUCUCUUCGGAGCAGGGGUGACAGGUGG